CACAGAGAUUGGAAGCUGGGGUCACAUAUCUAAGCUUCAGCUACAAGAAGCUAUGAAGAUGAACAUCUGUCUGUGCACCUCUGUGUUGAGAGACAGCCUCUGUUCUGAGUAGAUAUCUGAUGAGAAAUCCUUCCAGCGGAAGGCUAGGUAGGGAAAGUAAACAGCCACUGUCCACAUCAAGCUCUGACAGAUGUGCUCCAAGUCCUAUUUCUAGAUGUUUCUAGUAGGCCUGCCUCUGCCUAUCUGCACCCUGCACUUGAGACCUUGACCUGCUGAAUUCCCUUCCUGCAUUUCCAAGUGAGUGACAACUACUACUUGGCUCAACACAGGUUCCUUAGGUCCUUCCAGCAUUGACAUCCUGACCCCUCCCUUCUUUCUCAUCUCUGCAGACUUGAGUUGGACUCCAACUGAACAGAUACCACCAAGACCUUACAGUCCUGUAAGUGGCCAUGUGGCUGUGAAUCUUCCUAUAGGGUGUUCCCAGGCCUGGACAGAUGAUCCAUUAGUGUCCCAUGAAGUUCCUGUGAAACAGCCAGCCAUUCAUGUCAGAAGCAACGCGUCAGAAACCACCUGUUGCCCUUGCUCUGUGAGGCCACAUAGGAAGCGUCGAGUGGACGGAGCCUGCUGUUUUCAAGUGGCUGAAAGAUGCUGUUGAGCAGAGAAGACACUAGCCUCUGGCUGUCUGAAGGUCACAUUAUCAUCCCCUAUCAUUACUGAUAGACUAUCUGAAUAUGGUGCAUGAUGUAUUUUUAUUACAUUAAUUUACAC
rnacentral:lncRNA from 1 species